ACACAUGCAAGUCGAGGGGCAGCAUUUCAGUUUGCUUGCAAACUGGAGAUGGCGACCGGCGCACGGGUGAGUAACACGUAUCCAACCUGCCGAUAACUCGGGGAUAGCCUUUCGAAAGAAAGAUUAAUACCCGAUGGUAUAAUCAGACCGCAUGGUCUUGUUAUUAAAGAAUUUCGGUUAUCGAUGGGGAUGCGUUCCAUUAGGCAGUUGGUGAGGUAACGGCUCACCAAACCUUCGAUGGAUAGGGGUUCUGAGAGGAAGGUCCCCCACAUUGGAACUGAGACACGGUCCAAACUCCUACGGGAGGCAGCAGUGAGGAAUAUUGGUCAAUGGGCGCAGGCCUGAACCAGCCAAGUAGCGUGAAGGAUGACUGCCCUAUGGGUUGUAAACUUCUUUUAUAUGGGAAUAAAGUUUUCCACGUGUGGAAUUUUGUAUGUACCAUAUGAAUAAGGAUCGGCUAACUCCGUGCCAGCAGCCGCGGUAAUACGGAGGAUCCGAGCGUUAUCCGGAUUUAUUGGGUUUAAAGGGAGCGUAGGUGGACAGUUAAGUCAGUUGUGAAAGUUUGCGGCUCAACCGUAAAAUUGCAGUUGAUACUGGCUGUCUUGAGUACAGUAGAGGUGGGCGGAAUUCGUGGUGUAGCGGUGAAAUGCUUAGAUAUCACGAAGAACUCCGAUUGCGAAGGCAGCUCACUGGACUGCAACUGACACUGAUGCUCGAAAGUGUGGGUAUCAAACAGGAUUAGAUACCCUGGUAGUCCACACAGUAAACGAUGAAUACUCGCUGUUUGCGAUAUACAGUAAGCGGCCAAGCGAAAGCAUUAAGUAUUCCACCUGGGGAGUACGCCGGCAACGGUGAAACUCAAAGGAAUUGACGGGGGCCCGCACAAGCGGAGGAACAUGUGGUUUAAUUCGAUGAUACGCGAGGAACCUUACCCGGGCUUAAAUUGCAUUUGAAUAUAUUGGAAACAGUAUAGCCGUAAGGCAAAUGUGAAGGUGCUGCAUGGUUGUCGUCAGCUCGUGCCGUGAGGUGUCGGCUUAAGUGCCAUAACGAGCGCAACCCUUAUCUUUAGUUACUAACAGGUCAUGCUGAGGACUCUAGAGAGACUGCCGUCGUAAGAUGUGAGGAAGGUGGGGAUGACGUCAAAUCAGCACGGCCCUUACGUCCGGGGCUACACACGUGUUACAAUGGGGGGUACAGAAGGCAGCUACCUGGUGACAGGAUGCUAAUCCCAAAAGCCUCUCUCAGUUCGGAUCGAAGUCUGCAACCCGACUUCGUGAAGCUGGAUUCGCUAGUAAUCGCGCAUCAGCCAUGGCGCGGUGAAUACGUUCCCGGGCCUUGUACACACCGCCCGUCAAGCCAUGAAAGCCGGGGGUACCUGAAGUACGUAACCGCAAGGAGCGUCCUAGGGUAAAACUGGUAAUUGGGGCUAAGA
rnacentral:rRNA from 1 species